rnacentral:rRNA from 1 species
CUGAGACACGGCCCAGACUCCUACGGGAGGCAGCAGUGGGGAAUAUUGCACAAUGGGCGAAAGCCUGAUGCAGCGACGCCGCGUGAGGGAUGACGGCCUUCGGGUUGUAAACCUCUUUCAGCAGGGAAGAAGCGAAAGUGACGGUACCUGCAGAAGAAGCGCCGGCUAACUACGUGCCAGCAGCCGCGGUAAUACGUAGGGCGCAAGCGUUGUCCGGAAUUAUUGGGCGUAAAGAGCUCGUAGGCGGCUUGUCACGUCGAUUGUGAAAGCUCGGGGCUUAACCCCGAGUCUGCAGUCGAUACGGGCUAGCUAGAGUGUGGUAGGGGAGAUCGGAAUUCCUGGUGUAGCGGUGAAAUGCGCAGAUAUCAGGAGGAACACCGGUGGCGAAGGCGGAUCUCUGGGCCAUUACUGACGCUGAGGAGCGAAAGCGUGGGGAGCGAACAGGAUUAGAUACCCUGGUAGUCCACGCCGUAAACGGUGGGAACUAGGUGUUGGCGACAUUCCACGUCGUCGGUGCCGCAGCUAACGCAUUAAGUUCCCCGCCUGGGGAGUACGGCCGCAAGGCUAAAACUCAAAGGAAUUGACGGGGGCCCGCACAAGCAGCGGAGCAUGUGGCUUAAUUCGACGCAACGCGAAGAACCUUACCAAGGCUUGACAUACACCGGAAAGCAUUAGAGAUAGUGCCCCCCUUGUGGUCGGUGUACAGGUGGUGCAUGGCUGUCGUCAGCUCGUGUCGUGAGAUGUUGGGUUAAGUCCCGCAACGAGCGCAACCCUUGUUCUGUGUUGCCAGCAUGCCCUUCGGGGUGAUGGGGACUCACAGGAGACCGCCGGGGUCAACUCGGAGGAAGGUGGGGACGACGUCAAGUCAUCAUGCCCCUUAUGUCUUGGGCUGCACACGUGCUACAAUGGCCGAUACAAUGAGCUGCGAUACCGCAAGGUGGAGCGAAUCUCAAAAAGUCGGUCUCAGUUCGGAUUGGGGUCUGCAACUCGACCCCAUGAAGUUGGAGUUGCUAGUAAUCGCAGAUCAGCAUUGCUGCGGUGAAUACGUUCCCGGGCCUUGUACACACCGCCCGUCACGUCACGAAAGUCGGUAACACC